UACAGAGGAGCCAAGCGCUGUCCGGAUUGACUGGGCGUAAAGCGCACGCAGGCGGAUGCGCGCGUGGGGUGUGAAAUCUGGCCGCUUAACGGCCAGGCGCCAUCCCAUACGGCGCGUCUGGAGUGAUGCAGAGGUCGAUGGAAUUGCCGGUGUAGUGGUGAAAUGCGUAGAGAUCGGCAGGAACACCCAGGGGGAAACCAGUCGACUGGGCAUCUACUGACGCUGAGGUGCGAGAGCGUGGGGAGCGAACCGG
rnacentral:rRNA from 1 species